CUUGGGAGCAAAGGCAUUGUCUGUGCAUGAAAUGAAUGAGUUCCUCAUGGAAGGUGCUCUGUGGACAACUCCUUUUUAUCUUCACAAGUCCUGGAGAAACAACAGUGGAUUCCCUUGCCUUACUUCACCCCUAGGCUGGUCCCCUGCAUGUGUCUCUCACGUAAGGAGCUCUGUUUGAUUGCUCUCCUUUUCUGUGGAGAAAAUCCAAGGUGCAACUUCUCCAAACAUGGCAAUACCUCAGAGAGAGCCAUCACUUGUGAUUUGACCUGUAUUUGUCAGUGCAGUGUCUCAGUGCACUGGGACUAGAAAGGAAAAGAAUGAAUACUAAUAUUUUGGUGUCAUGGAGAAGCCUGCCUGUCCUGCUUCGUCUUUCAAGAUACAUAUAUUAUGAAGAGAUGUGGUAAUAGGUAGCAGAAUCUCUCUCUUACCUGCAGUCGAGCCACAGUUACAGUUUUCCAGUUCUUGUGUUGAUGACUUGUAAAUCUGUUAGCUGAAAGCAUGCACCUCUUCUGGAGGAAAUGGCAACAAGAGUGAGGGGAUUUUCAUUUGACUUCUAUAGAGAAAUAUACACCAAAAUGUAUACUUUCUUGGACCACAGAAAAUGUUAAGGAAAUGUCUCAAAGUAAUGUUGAAUCUGUAACAGGAGUAAAUCUGGACUACUUUCUUCUUGGAAGAUUUUAUCAACUUCUGUUAAACAGUCAUCCCCUAAACAGACAUCAAGUCUUUAUGCAUGUGAAAAAGCCCAUGAUUGGACUACUUGUGUUGAGAUCAUAAUAAAAUAUCUGUAAUAGAGGGACUCUUA